CAUUUCCCACGUGAACGUAUGAGCAUGGUGGUGUACUGUAAAUGAGACACUGUUUUUUUUUGUUUUGUUUUUUGUUGUUCGUCUUGCAAAGUUGUGUUUGAGAUUUAAAUAGUGUUAUUUUUCAACAUUGGUACAACAUUUUAGGGUGAAGCGUUGUCGCCAUGGCCACUUUUCGGAAGAAGGUGGACAAUCGUAUUCGUGUCCAGAUAGAAAACGGUGUCGCGCAACAACAUCGAUCUGUGUUUGUUAUUGUUGGUGAUCGUGGAAGAGAUCAGGUUGUCAUUCUGCAUCACAUGCUGUCUAAAGCUACAGUCCGAGCCCGGCCAUCAGUCUUAUGGUGCUACAAAAAGGAGCUUGGCUUUAGCAGUAAUCGUAAGAAGAGGAUGCGGCAGCUGCAGAAGAAGAUCAAAACAGGCACAUUGAAUCUAAAUCAGGAUGAUCCCUUUGAGCUCUUUGUUGCUGCAACCAACAUCCGCUACUGUUACUACAAUGAAACUCACAAGAUCUUGGGAAACACAUAUGGCAUGUGUGUUCUGCAGGACUUUGAAGCUCUCACUCCUAACCUUUUAGCUCGAACCAUAGAGACAGUGGAAGGUGGAGGCAUUGUGGUCAUUCUUCUGAGGACUGUGAACUCACUGAAACAGCUGUAUACAAUGACAAUGGAUGUUCAUUCGCGAUAUCGGACAGAGGCUCACCAGGAUGUUGUUGGAAGGUUCAAUGAAAGAUUCAUCCUGUCUCUCGCCUCCUGUAAAACAUGUGUUGUUAUUGAUGACCAACUCAAUAUUCUGCCAAUCUCCAGUCAUAUUACCAACAUCAAACCUCUACCCCCUAAAACACAGGAUGAUAGACUGUCUCCACGGGAACAAGAGCUGAAGGAUCUAAAGGAGAAUUUACAAGACACACAGCCAGUUGGUGUUCUAGUGGACAGCUGCAAAACUGUGGACCAGGCCAAAGCGGUGCUGAAGUUCAUAGAGGCCAUUUCAGAGAAGACCUUACGCAGCACUGUAGCUCUCACUGCUGCCCGUGGUCGAGGCAAGUCUGCUGCGCUGGGAUUGGCUAUAGCCGGAGCUGUUGCAUUUGGCUAUUCCAAUAUUUUCGUCACAUCACCCAGCCCGGACAAUCUGCACACACUGUUUGAGUUCAUAUUUAAAGGUUUUGACGCCCUCCAGUAUCAGGAACAUAUGGACUAUGAAAUAAUCCAGUCUUUGAACCCAGAGUUUAACAAAGCUGUGGUCCGUGUUAACAUCUUCAGGGAACACCGACAGACCAUUCAGUACAUCCACCCUGCUGAUGCUGUGAAGUUAGGCCAGGCAGAGCUGCUAGUCAUUGAUGAGGCUGCUGCUAUCCCCCUGCCUUUAGUGAAGAAACUACUGGGGCCUUACCUUGUGUUUAUGGCAUCUACAAUUAAUGGCUAUGAGGGGACAGGGCGCUCUCUGUCUCUUAAACUCAUUCAGCAGUUGAGGCAACAAAGUGCAGACAGCCAGCAGAACCUCUCCGCUGAGAACAGAAACACCAGCACAGUCAGACUGGCAGCAGCACGAACCCUCCAUGAGGUGACCCUCCACGAGUCUAUCCGUUAUGGCCAAGGGGACCAUGUGGAGAAAUGGCUAAAUGAACUGCUGUGUUUGGACUGUCUGAGUGUACCACGCAUCAUUUCCGGCUGCCCCUUACCCCAGACGUGUGACCUUUACUAUGUGAAUCGAGACACAUUGUUCUGUUACCACAAAGCCUCUGAGACUUUUCUUCAGCGCCUAAUGGCACUCUAUGUAGCAUCACACUACAAGAACUCGCCCAAUGACCUUCAGAUGCUCUCAGACGCUCCGGCUCACCAUCUGUUCUGUCUGCUUCCUCCUGUUCCACCCACACAGAACUCUCUCCCGGAAGUCUUAGCAGUUGUGCAGGUUUGUCUAGAAGGAGAGAUCUCCCGUCAGUCCAUCCUCAGCAGCUUGUCCAGAGGAAAGAAAGCUUCAGGUGACCUCAUUCCCUGGACUGUUUCAGAACAGUUUCAAGACCCUGAGUUUGGAGGCCUUUCGGGCGGCAGGAUUGUCCGUAUUGCAGUGAAUCCUGACUAUCAGGGGAUGGGUUACGGCAGCCGUGCGUUGGAACUGCUGCAGCGAUACUACGAGGGUCAGUUUCCUCUUUUGGAUGAGAAAGAACAGACAGCAGCCAGCACGAUCACAUCCGUGAGCAGUGAGACUGUCAGUCUCCUGGAGGAGGUGGUGUCACCCAGAAAAGACCUGCCACCAUUGCUGUUGAAGCUGAACGAGAGGAGAGCCGAAAGGUUGGACUACCUGGGGGUGUCAUAUGGUCUCACUUCUCAGCUGCUGAAAUUCUGGAAAAAGGCUGGAUUUGUUCCGGUUUAUUUAAGACAGACUCCGAAUGACCUGACGGGGGAGCACUCGUGCAUUAUGCUGAAGGAGCUUAAUACUGAGGAGUCGACAGAGCAGGGCCAGUGGCUAUCUGCCUUCUGGAAAGAUUUCCGACGGAGGUUCAUCUCCCUGCUGUCUUUCCAGUUCAGCAGUUUUAGCCCGACACUGGCUCUCAGCAUAUUGCAGAAUAAGAGCGCCAAGGAUGAUAGCCCAGCAGGACUCACCAAUGCAGAGCUAGCUGCCCAGUUCACUCCAUAUGACCUAAAGCGUUUGGAGAUGUAUUCAAGAAACAUGGUGGACUAUCAUCUCAUAAUGGACAUGAUUCCUGUUAUUGCUCACAUGUAUUUCCUCAAACAGCUAGGAGACAUCACGCUCUCUGUUGCCCAGUGUGCUCUACUAUUGGGAGUUGGGCUUCAACACAAGACUGUAGAUGAGCUUGAGAAAAAGAUUGACUUGCCUUGUUCUCAGCUUAUGGGCUUGUUCAACCGUAUCAUCCGUAAAGUGGUGCAGGUUCCCAAGAGCACAGUGGCCUCCAUAACUCUGAACUGGAAGAAGUUUGGAACUACCAGGACUCCUAGAGCUGGCCGCCUGGCCAAACUGAGCAAUUGGGCCAGAAGGGCAUUGGUAAGAGAUGUGACCAAGAACCUGAUGGUCACUCUAGUUGAGCUCCAGAGAUCAGGUGUGGAGAUGGGAGAAACUUGCAGAAGGACAACCAUCACUGCAACACUCCACCGAUCUGGGCUUUAUGGCAGAGUGGCCAGACAGAAGCCUCUCCUCAGUGCAAGACACAUGAAAGCCUGCUUGGAAUUAGCAAAAAAGCAUCUAAAGGACUCGCAGUCUAUGAUGAAACAAAGAUUGAACUGUUUGGUCUCAAUUCCAAGCGUCACGUCUGGAUGAAACCAGGUACCGCUCACCACCUGCGCAAUACCAUCCCAACAGUGAAACAUGGUGGUGGUAGCAUCAUGCUGUGGGGUGUUUUUCAAUGGCAGGGACUGGGGGACUGGUCAGGGUUGAAGGAAAGCUGAACGCAGUAAAAUACAGAGAUAUCCUUAAUGAAAACCUGGUCCAGAGCGCUCGGGACCUCAGACUGGGCUGAAGGUUCACCUUCCAACAGGACAAUGACCUUAAGCACACAUCCAAGACAAUGCAAGAGUGGCUUUGGGACAACUCUGUCAAUGUCUUUGAGAGGCCUAGCCAGAGCCUGGACUUGAACCCAAUCGGAGAGACCUGAAAAUGGCUGUCCACCGAUGGUCCCCAUCCAACCUGACAGAGCUUGAGAGGAUCUGCAGAGAAGAAUGGCCGUAAAUCCCAAAAUCCAGGAGUGAAAAGCUUGUCGCUUCAUACCCAAAAAGACUUGAAGCUGUGAUCGCUGCCAAAGUUCUUCAACACUCUUCAGGAAAAGGCAGUUGAGGCAGAGAUGGUGGCCACCAAAGACAUAAGCAUGGAACCAACUGCACAGACACUAAAUGAAGAUCUGAAUGAGGCUGCCAAAGAGUUUCAAGAGAGACACAACAAGGACAUGG